CGGAUUGUCCCGUGUUGUGGUCUGACCCCCGACCCCGACGGCAACGCGGGGCAUCCC
rnacentral:sRNA from 1 species